ACAAAAAAAAUUACAUCCAGCCUAGUUAAGACCAUACCAAAGACUAUAAAAAUGGGACCCAUUGCCUCCCUGCGUGUGUGACGAUCAUUGGGACUUAAAAAAAAAAAAAAAAUUAAAAAAAUUCAUAAAAAUUGGGUGCGUAUUAUACAUGGGUACAAGCUUUUUUCCAGCAUCAGCAUGCCAUUUUUAGGGGUGCGUACUAUACAUGGGGGCGCACUAUACACGGAAAAAAACGGUAAUUUAUUGUGCGCAUUAUACAUGGGUACAAUUUUUUUUUAAAUUUUAUUUUUUAAUUAUUUUUUUUGAAGAAAAUCAUGGUACAACAAUUUUUGAAGAAAAUCUUGUCACGGAUGGAGUGUGGAAAGGAGCAGGGCGACCAAGUGCAGCUUGGACCAGGGUUCAUUGGAGGAACUCAAAACACAGACUUGGUAAACUAACAUAACUCUCUAACAAAACCAACAACAGGACUGACCGACAAAGACGUGGAACAAAAAGACAGGGUGACAUUACCAAAGACAGGAAGAGAAACCUGUGUUAUUGUCAAAUAUUGUUUGUUUUUUAAUCUCCAUCGCGGACUCGCCGUCAUACGGAGGCAGUAUCACUGCGCAUGCGCACUAUGGAUCCGAUGUGAAUAGUCCUCUUCUCUUCUUGACUGACAAUGAAUGUGAUAGUUUAAUACAAUCAGCAAAUAACAAAAUGCGUAUUACAGGUAAUAUUUUACUUCACAACACUUUGCCUCGUUCCUUUUAACUCUGCUGUUCACUUCAAACACGCUCCAUACGAACGCAAUGCUCUCGUAUCAGACGCUUGCUCGAUCACCUGCUCGUUUGCUGACACAAUGUACCCUACACAAAUCUGAAACAUUUGUUGCGGCUCCGAGUCACGACGUGGGGCAAGUUUGGGUUUCCAAGGGUGUUUUUAUUCCUCUUCAACUUCUCUCCCAUACCCUUUUUCACAUGUCCACACGUCACUUUCCUCUCUUUUCAUGUUAGACUUAGACUUAGACAGACUUUAUUGUCAUUUUGUAAACACUCAGUGCACACAAAACGAAAUUACGUUGCAUACGGCUCUCAACAAAGGAAUGACAUUUCGGCUGGAUAAAAAGUGACAUUUCUAUAUAAAUAGUAUGAAACAAGAUAAGAUAAAUAAGAUAAAUAUAAAGUGCAGCAAUGAAGGACCAAAAACAGUAUUUACAAAGUGCGCAGGGGAAUGCUAAGUUGACUGUUCAACAGUCUGACGACAGUAGGGAAAAAACUAUUGCAGAACCUGGUAGACCUGCAGCUGAUGCUGCGAAACUUCUUCCCAGAGGGUAGCAGGGAGAACAGUCUUUGGUGGGGGUGUGAUGGGUCACUAAUAAUAUUUUGGGCUCGGGACACGCAGCGCUGGGAUGACAAGUCCUGAAUGGAGGGAAGAGGAGCCCCGAUGAUCCUCUCUGCUGUCCUCACCACUCUCCUUACGUUCUUCCAAUCGGAGGCGCUGCAACCCCCACACCACACCGAGAGACAGCUCGUCAGAAUGCUCUCUAUGGUGCUUCGGUAGAACGUUCUCAUGAUGGGUGGGGGCAGUCCAGGUGAGGUCGUCUGUGAUGUGGACCCCCAGGAAUUUAGUGCUGCUGACCACCUCCACAUCUGAGCUGUUGAUGAUCAGUGGAGCGUGGUGAGGCUGGUUCUUCCUGAAGUCGACGAUGAUCUCCUUCAUCUUCUCCACAUUCAGGAUCAGGCCAUUGUCUCUGCACCAGCCCACCAACUGCUCCACCUCCUCUCUAUAGUCCAGGUCGUCGUUAUCGCUGAUGAGGCCCACCACCGUUGUGUCGUCUGCAAACUUCACAAUGUGAUUGGUGGUGAACCUGGGGACGCAGUCGUCUGUCAUCAGGGUGAACAGCAGGGGGCUCAGGACGCAGCCCUGAGGGGAGCCUGUGCUGAGGGUGAUGACAUCUGAGGUGUUCUGUCCGACCCGGACUGACUGAGGUCUGUUGGUGAGGAAGUCUAGCAGCCAGUUCCGAAGGGGGGUGCCGAAGCCCAGGCGUUCCAGUUUUCCCACCAGAUGCUGUGGAAUUUUUUAACCUAACUGAUUGCGGUGGUGCCUUUACGGGCAGUCGGAGAAAUCAACGCCAACAAAAUAAAUACAUCCAGCCUAGUUAAGACCAUACCAAAAACGAUAAAAAUGGGACCCAUUACCUCCCUGUUUGGCACUCAGCAUUAAGGGUUGGAAUUGGGGGGGUUAGAUCACCAAAUGAUUCCCGAGCGUGGCGCCGCUGCUGCUCACUGCUCCCCUCUCACCCAGGGGAUGGAUCAAAAUCACACAGGGAUGGGUCAAAUGCAGAGGACAAAUUUCACCACACCCAGAUGCGUGUGUGACGAUCAUUGGGACUUAAAAAAAAAAAAAGAUUUGGGUGCGUAUUAUACAUGGGGUACA